AGAGUUUGAUCCUGGCUCAGGAUGAACGCUGGCGGCGUGCCUAAUACAUGCAAGUCGAGCGAACGGACGAGAAGCUUGCUUCUCUGAUGUUAGCGGCGGACGGGUGAGUAACACGUGGAUAACCUACCUAUAAGACUGGGAUAACUUCGGGAAACCGGAGCUAAUACCGGAUAAUAUUUUGAACCGCAUGGUUCAAAAGUGAAAGGCGGUCUUGCUGUCACUUAUAGAUGGAUCCGCGCUGCAUUAGCUAGUUGGUAAGGUAACGGCUUACCAAGGCAACGAUGCAUAGCCGACCUGAGAGGGUGAUCGGCCACACUGGAACUGAGACACGGUCCAGACUCCUACGGGAGGCAGCAGUAGGGAAUCUUCCGCAAUGGGCGAAAGCCUGACGGAGCACCGCCGCGUGAGUGAUGAAGGUCUUCGGAUCGUAAAACUCUGUCAUUAGGGAAGAACAUAUGUGUAAGUAACUGUGCACAUCUUGACGGUACCUAAUCAGAAAGCCACGGCUAACUGCGUGCCAGCAGCCGCGGUAAUACGUAGGUGGCAAGCGUUAUCCGGAAUUAUUGGGCGUAAAGCGCGCGUAGGCGGUUUUUUAAGUCUGAUGUGAAAGCCCACGGCUCAACCGUGGAGGGUCAUUGGAAACUGGAAAACUUGAGUGCAGAAGAGGAAAGUGGAAUUCCAUGUGUAGCGGUGAAAUGCGCAGAGAUAUGGAGGAACACCAGUGGCGAAGGCGACUUUCUGGUCUGUAACUGACGCUGAUGUGCGAAAGCGUGGGGAUCAAACAGGAUUAGAUACCCUGGUAGUCC
rnacentral:rRNA from 1 species